GGGUCAGUAGGUUGGUCGUGCCACCGGUACGUACUGGUCUCACUGAUUCCUCCUUCCUGAAGAACCGUAAUGCCAUUACUUUGGUGUUGCGGGGAAACAGGACUGUUACUUUUAAAAAAUUAGAGUGUUUAAAGCAAGCUAAAGCUUGAAUACAUUAGCAUGGAAUAAUGAAAUAGGACGAUCGAUCCUAUUUUGUUGGUUUCUAGGAUUGACGUA
rnacentral:rRNA from 1 species